rnacentral:lncRNA from 1 species
UGAAAUUUUCUUAUUAGGAUAUAUAUCUGAUUGCCUAAUCGGAAAUUUGACAUAGAAGAUGACUAGAUGGAACAAAGAAUAGCAGUGAAGUUUCUGAUAAAUGUAGUAAAAAAUGAUACUUUGUGCAACAAAACUUUCUAUAUGAUUUGUAGUUUGUGCUUGGGAUUUGAAAGUUUAUUCCAAGGACUUGCUCACUUAAUUAGCCC